rnacentral:lncRNA from 9 species
AAUCAUUGGUGGUUCCAGGACUCAAUUUGUUGGUAUUAGGGAAGGAGGAACCAAAUUUAUGGACCAUUGUGCAUUUAUCAUUGCGUAUUAAAAUUCUUCAGAUUGGUCUUUAAGAGCCCAGCCACUAAAAGACUAAGAAGAAAAAAAUAAGUUUAGAAAGGUAUUUAAAGUGGGAAAUAUCAGGUGUUAUGAAAUUAGACAUUGGGACGUAUACACUGGAGGGAAAAUUAAGGCAGUAAAUAUUACUGGUGUGUCCACAUAUUUUAAAUCUUCCUUUCCUGAGGUGGAAGCUGUCUAGCCACAGAGCCACUACUAGGCCCACUCUCCACAGCUCGUCAGCCCUUUAGGGCCUGGAGUUGUUGAGAUCAGAGAUUACCUUUUAGGAAAGCCCCAGCAUGGCUCAGCUAUUACUUAUAACUAAGCGUCUUCAAGCCCUGGGAUACGAGAAUCCGGAAGACUCAAGGCAGAGCUCUGGGAAUUGGUUAGUAACAAACAGUUUCGUUGCCAGUUAAAUAGAUUUUUGUUGACUAACCUUGGAAUUUUACCAUCCUCUAUAACUUUUGAUAAUGGGUAAAUUCAUUCUAACUACCAGUAGGGCAUUCAGAACACAAUUCAUCCAUAAGAUAGAGUAACUCAACCACGUUGUUUUCAGGCUGUGAGUUGAAUUGAUGGAAAUCUGGAGUUUGUGCCUAAAAUGCGGUUCAACUAAUUUUCUUCUAGACAAGAUAAUCAAUCAUUGGCAUUAUUGUUUAUGACUGAAAUAAUAAUGUGUCAUAUAGGCCCCUUUUUUCUUUUGGCCAAAAGGCUGCUGAUAGCUUAAACAGUUUCAUUGUAUAGGAAAAACCACAUGCCUUAUUUUUAGUGUGGACGCCACCUCCUGUUAAGCUCCUCAACUUUGGAAGCAGAACUGGUGCUAGAUUUCAGUCCCUAAUAGUCCUUUCAGUCGUGCACUCUUGUUUAGGUCCAACUCAUAGAUUUCACUGUGGCAACUAUGGUGGCUGGAAAGAGAGGACUCUCAAGUCUGACCUCUAUGAAGAGCAUACUUAUGUUAAAUGAACUUGGUGAACACAAACAAUGUCUCAUCCGAAAACCACUCUGCAUUCGUCCCCUCAUAGAAGAAACAUCAAUGUGGUCUAAUGUUCUAGGAUAGGACUUGCUGACUAUCUGCUAUUUUUUUCUUUGGGUCAGUGCAACUCAAGUUACAGGAGGAGGGGGAUAGGGGAAGUGAAGUGACUGAAUUUGUUGACUUGUAUAAAUGGGAAAAGGAGCUUUACUGAGCAUGUGUUAUCAUGAGUAAAGUUGUUACUAUGUAUUAUUCAUGGCACAAAUAAUUAUUGAAUGGCCAGUACUAGAAAGGGACUGUCCUAGUUGCUAGGGAUGCAACAGUGAACAAAACAGGUCAAGUCCCUGGCCUCGUUCAACUUAAGGGCUAGUGAGGGGAUACAGAAAGUAAAUAACUCAGUAAAACAUACAGUGCUAUAGAUGUGAUCAUGAUGUUAAGAAAAGUAAAGCAAAUUUAGAGGAACAAGAGGUGCUGGGGUAGGAGUAGGAUUUUUAUCAUAUAUAGGAUCUCCUGAGAAGGAUUCUUUAAUAAGGUGACACUUGGGCAAUGGUCUGAAGGGAAUGAAGGAGAAAUUGGUGCUAUUAAGUCUCAGAGUGUUCCAUCUAGGGAAAUAAGUUACAAAGGCUCUCGAAGGAACAUGUACUGUUAAAAGAAUAUCACAGAUCUCUAGCUGGAUCCAUGUUGCUGUGAGUAACCUUAUUUCAUUCCUUUUUAUGUCUGAGUAUUAUUCCAUUGUGUAUAUGUACAACAUCUUAAGCCAUUCAUCUGUCAAUGGA